rnacentral:misc_RNA from 1 species
AAUGUCGUAACAAGGGUCUCCGUUGGUGAACCAGCGGAAGGGAUCAUUACUGAGUCGUAAAAAUCUCCCAAAGCCCAUGUGAACUUACCUAUGUUGCCUCGGCAGGACCUACCCUGGGGACCUACCCUGUAGCCUACCUUUGUACGCCUGCCGGGUGGGAACAUCUAAACUCUUGUUUUUUGAUAGAAAUCUGAACGUCUUAUUAAAUAAGGUCAAAAU